UAAUUGUUUUAAAAGUUUGCUGGUAUUGUGUACUGAAACAUCUACACAGAAUAUGGUCUCGACCUGCCUAAUCCAGAUGGGAGUUACCACAAAGGGAGAGUUACAAGGCUAAGACUGCCAGAUACAAACAUAAAAGCAAGUACUGGCCAAACAACCUGACAUUGUGAUGAUAGCCAAAAUUAGGAUGGUUGGACGGUAAAGUGUAGAAUAUAUAGAGUGGACCAAAAUUCAGAGUAGUAUUUGACAGGUAAAUAACUUAUUUGUUAGAAGUUACAUUUUUU